AUUGAACGCUGGCGGCAGGCCUAACACAUGCAAGUCGAGCGGAUGAAGGGAGCUUGCUCCUGGAUUCAGCGGCGGACGGGUGAGUAAUGCCUAGGAAUCUGCCUGGUAGUGGGGGAUAACGUCCGGAAACGGGCGCUAAUACCGCAUACGUCCUGAGGGAGAAAGUGGGGGAUCUUCGGACCUCACGCUAUCAGAUGAGCCUAGGUCGGAUUAGCUAGUUGGUGGGGUAAAGGCCUACCAAGGCGACGAUCCGUAACUGGUCUGAGAGGAUGAUCAGUCACACUGGAACUGAGACACGGUCCAGACCCCUACGGGAGGCAGCAGUGGGGAAUAUUGGACAAUGGGCGAAAGCCUGAUCCAGCCAUGCCGCGUGUGUGAAGAAGGUCUUCGGAUUGUAAAGCACUUUAAGUUGGGAGGAAGGGCAGUAAGUUAAUACCUUGCUGUUUUGACGUUACCAACAGAAUAAGCACCGGCUAACUUCAUG
rnacentral:rRNA from 1 species